GAGCAAUUGUGCACUAAAGAAUAAAAAAGAAAUAAUGUAAUAGAAAUUAUAAAUACAAAGUGUAACUAAUUUACGCGUGUUAAAUAAAUCGCGUACUAUUUGAAAACUAAAAAAUUCUUAAAAUGGAUUGUACGACGAAUUUGUUAAAAAGUAGAUAGUGCGGUGAAAAGCGCGACAAGGGCCAUACGAUUACGGCACGGAGUGCUAGAGCAAAAAUUUUUGUUGCAAUUCGCAUAAACCGAUCAUGCCUUAAAUGUAAUUAUGGGCGAUUAUAUUGGUGGCAGAUAUGUUUUUUUCAUGGUUUUAAGGGAUAAAUAAAAAAUAAACAUGUUAACAGCUCUGUUAUUUAACAUUGGUAUAUGUGGCGAAAACAAUAAAUAGCAAUAAAAGAAACAACAAAAAUUACAGCGAAAAUUUAAUAAACCCAUUUUGUUUUCAGUUCAUACAAAACAAGCAUGAAAUAAGAACUGAACUGAACUGAGAAGCAUAAAGUAAAAUUUGUGGCACGUCUAAAGGAAAAUAUACAUAAAUACACACUGCGAAUACAGUGCAAAGUGAAGGCGGAAAAUCGACACUAAAAAACAAUAAGGUGAAAAACUGUUUUCAUACAUAAAAGUAAACGCAAUUAAAAGUAUUCUAAAAAGUUGAUUGUUUUUUAAAAAAAGGAAUUUAUUGUAACUAUUUUCGCGCCAAAAAACACAAAAACACAAAAAAACAAAACAAUUUUACUGAACUAACAAAUACGACGGGAGUGAUGAAAGAAGUUGGUGGAUGACUUCCACACCUACUUUUUGUUAAAAAUUAUUAUUGCAAAAGUGGCUUUUCUGUGGAAUAAUUUGUGUGUCUUCAUGUUGUCCAGGCGGCGGCUGCCACCUCCACACUAUUCGCUCAGCAGCGUUACAAUUCCCAAUCCUCAAAUUGUAAUUUUAUAUUUAUUUACAUUAUUGAUCCGAGAGGGUCUUCUUCAUAAAUACAACACAAGUUGCAGUUGGUGCGGCGUUUGUGGCCUUAAGCAUGUAGUCUUGUAAUCUUCGUUUCUAAAGCGCGCAAAAAAGAACAAAUUAAUAUAUCACUCCAUCCAAAAACGAAAAUCAUACAUACCUAAGUUAAAUUAAAAGGAUUAUUGUAAAUGAAUAUUAAUAAAGUGCACACCACAG